GAAUGCCUGUUUUAUGAGCUGGUUAUAUAAAGAGAAAACCAAACGUGUUAGAAAGGAAUGAUCCCCAGAGGAGAAAGGAAAGAGAAAAAAGAAUUCGGGGUACGUUUGGAUUGGCAGUAUCAGCUUUCAUGUUCAAAUUAUUCGGAUGGCCAAGGCACAAAUAGCCCUGCUAGGAGCAGUUUCUUAGAUGCAGCAGCAGAAAGCAUUUGUUCUCUUGGUUACAUUUUCUUUAUAAAGAGGACACGGGGCCUAUUUUGAGUCUGUGUUUGUCGAGACGAUCCGUGCGUGUCACUGAGAAGAGACAAAAUGUCAUCCAGCACUCACUACUUCGGCACUACAAAGACUUGAAACGUCUCCUCCAAAGCACAGUGAUGUUCUACUAUGGCAAGCAAAUAAAAAAUGAAUAAGCAGCAGGGACUUGUUUAUUGGUGGCCUCGUGUGCACACUAACACUGAACAUCUCUGAUACUCCAGAGCUGCUCUAGGAAUCGCUGGGUUCCACAUUGGCUUUGUUUCACAGCUCCAGUGCUCCUGCUGGCAUUUUACAAGGGAAGGAACAGGAGAGGAAGAGGUGGGGAAAAAUGGAGAGGAAGACCAUCAGAAUCACAGAA